ACGUCGGCUUCUCGGAGGUUCGUGAUGCCGGAGACCUCGGUCCCGCGGUACGCGUCCUCUGCGUUCCUUUAUGCCCGGCGGCGUCGGCGUGCACUUCUCCCCUAGUAGAACGUCGCGACCCGUUGGGUGUCGGUCUACGGCCCGAGCGGUUGACUGUCUCGUCGCCUCACGGCGCACGGAACAGACCCUCGGUUGCCCGGCCGGCUGCCCGGCGGUACUCGCACGGUAUCGGGCCGCUAAAUUCGAACAGCGUCAGGCCCGCCGCAAGCGCGGUUAGUCUCUCGGUGGUAACGGACCUAGUGCCGUCCCCGGAGCUAACCCGCUGUUGGUCGGCGGUGUCCUCUGACUGGCCAAUUGAAAACGAUACCGGUCGGCGACGCUAUUGCUUUGGGUACUCUCAGGACCCGUCUUGAAACACGGACCAAGGAGUCUAACAUGUGCGCGAGUCAUUGGGACUGCAAAAACCUAAAGGCGAAAUGAAAGUGAAGGUCGGCCUCGCGCCGACCGAGGGAGGAUGGGCCGCGUUACGAUGCGGCUCCGCACUCCCGGGGCGUCUCGUUCUCAUUGCGAGAUGAGGCGCACCCAGAGCGUACACGUUGGGACCCGAAAGAUGGUGAACUAUGCCUGGUCAGGACGAAGUCAGGGGAAACCCUGAUGGAGGUCCGUAGCGAUU
rnacentral:rRNA from 1 species